AUGCAUGAUUUUGGUGGAGCCACUGGAACUCUUCCCUGUCGCUACCUUGGUCUACCACCAAGUCUACGGAAACCAAGAAGAGUUGAGGUGCUGCCAUUGAUAGAGGGUAUGGCCGGUAGAUUAAAAGGUUGGAAAGGAAGGCUUAUGGCUAAACCAGGAAGGCUUGCUCUCAUAAACUCAGUUCUAACAUCCAUGGCCACCUAUUUUCUAACCUGCUUUGCUGCAAGCAAAUGGGCGAUCAAGCGGUUGGACAAGAUUCGAAGAAACUUUCUUUGGGCUGCUGAUGAGGAAUGCAAUGGCGGCAAGUGUCUAGUGAAUUGGAAGAAGUGUUGCUCGCCUAAAAAAAUUGGUGGCCUU
rnacentral:rRNA from 1 species